AUUGAACGCUGGCGGCAUGCUUUACACAUGCAAGUCGAACGGUAACAGGCCUUCGGGUGCUGACGAGUGGCGAACGGGUGAGUAAUGCAUCGGAACGUGCCCAGAGGUGGGGGAUAACGCAGCGAAAGCUGUGCUAAUACCGCAUGUGAUCUGAGGAUGAAAGCGGGGGACCAGGCAGCAAUGUUUGGCCUCGCGCCUUUGGAGCGGCCGAUGUCAGAUUAGGUAGUUGGUGGGGUAAAGGCCUACCAAGCCGACGAUCUGUAGCUGGUCUGAGAGGACGACCAGCCACACUGGGACUGAGACACGGCCCAGACUCCUACGGGAGGCAGCAGUGGGGAAUUUUGGACAAUGGGCGCAAGCCUGAUCCAGCAAUGCCGCGUGCGGGAAGAAGGCCUUCGGGUUGUAAACCGCUUUUGUACGGAACGAAAAGGCUCUGGCUAAGACCUGGGGCUGAUGACGGUACCGUAAGAAUAAGCACCGGCUAACUACGU
rnacentral:rRNA from 1 species